CUUUCGUUCCACCGGCACCACAUUUGCUCAGGCCAAUCUACACCCCAUGGCCAUUAAAAGUUAUUCAAAUCAUGACACUGCACCCCACGGUUUAGGUUCUAGGGGGCGCCAAAAAUAACCCUAAAAUCCACAUAUUUAAAAGUCUUAUAACUUUUUAUUUUUGUCCCCACUGGCCUCCAAGUUUUCUAGGAUGAUGCAAUGUCCAGCCAUCAACACAUUUGUGAAGGAAUUUUUACUCGGCAAAAGAGCGCCCCCCCAUGGCAGGAGAAAAAAGUCAAUUUUUUCUUGUCCACUAAGGUGAAAAUACACAUUGUUGAGUGCUACGCCUGUAUGUUUUGUCGUAUUGACACAAAAUUUUACAUACACGUGUAUUUACAUAAGAUCUUCGAAAAAGUCAAUGGCCACGUAUCUGUAAAAUGUACGGUUAAAGGGUUAUUUCGCAUUUUUUGCAGAUUCGCACACAUUGGAAUUUCGCUAAUUCCUCCGAAGGCUUUCGUUCCACCGGCACCACAUUUGCUCAGGCCAAUCUACACCCCAUGGCCAUUAAAAGUUAUUCAAAUCAUGACGCUGCACCCCACGGUUUAGGUUCUAGGGGGCGCCAAAUAUAACCCUAAAAUCCACAUAUUUAAAAGUCUUAUAACUUUUUAUUUUUGUCCUCACUGGCCUCCAUGUUUUCUAGGAUGAUGCAAUGUCCAGCCAUCAACACAUUUGUGAAGGAGUUUUUUCUCUUUAAAAGAGCGCCCCCCCAUGGCAGGAGAAUAAAGUCAAGUUUUUCCUGUUCAUCAUUCAAUGGCUCAAACGCACUGCUCUCUCGGCAAAAGCGAAAGGAGGAGCAACUUGCCAUUUGGAUAUAUCUUAGCUGUGUUUGUGCCCUCACUCAUGGUCCAGACUUUUUUCAAAUAGGACAUGGAGUUUUUCUGCAGCGAGCGUUUUGGUAGAAACUGCGCCUCCCGUUCAUUAUAAUGGUAAAUGACCACAAACAAGUGCGCACACCAUCUUUGGACCUUGAGUGUGACGCGAUCGGGUGGGGGAGGCGGUCGCGCUGGGGGCGGCGUGACACGGCUCGGGCCCGCCAGUGCCCCAACGGGGCCCUAGUUCUUUAGGGCCCGAGCGUAGCUGCUAAGCAGCUGCGAGAGCCCUCUUGUUCCUGUAGUUUCCUUCUUUUGUUAUUAUUAUUAUUAUUUUUCCUCCCCUUUGAACUGGAAAAUGGCCCACUUCCCACUGGCGAAAACUCAUGAAAUUUGGCAGGACGACCGGGCCUGGUGAAAAAUUUGAUAUUCCGAAGUCGCCCAAACAAGAAAAUGCAAAAUGGCUCCAUAGCGCCCCCUAAGGUGAAAAUUCACACUAUUGACUGUCACGCCGGUACGCUUUGUCAAAAUGACACAAAAAUUGACACACACAUGUAUCUCAAUAAGAUCUACAAAAAAGUCAGUGCGGGCGUAUCUGUCAAAUGUACGGUUAAAGGGUUAUUUCGCAUUUUUUGCCGAUCCGCACACAUUGGAAUUUCGCUAACUCCUCCGAAGGCUUUCGUUCCACCGGCACCACAUUUGCUCAGGCCAAUCUACACCCCAUGGCCAUUAAAAGUUAUUCAAAUCAUGACGCUGCACCCCACGGUUUAGGUUCUAGGGGGCGCCAAAGAUAACCCUAAGAUCCACAUAUUUAAAAGUCUUAUAACUUUUUAUUUUUGCCCUCACUGGCCUCCAAGUUUUCUAGGAUGAUGCAAUGUCCAGCCAUCAACACAUUUGUGAAGGAAUUUUUACUCCCCAAAAGAGCGCCCCCCCAUGGCAGGAGAAAAAAGUCCAUUUUUUCUUGUCCCCUAAGGUGAAAAUACACAUUGUUGAGUGUAACACCUGUACGCUUUGGCAAAAUGACACAAAAAUUGACACACACAUGUAUCUCAAUAAGAUCUACGAAAAAGUCAAUGCGCGCGUAUCUGUCAAAUGUACGGUUAAAGGGUUAUUCCGCAUUUUUUGCCGAUCCGCACACAUUGGAAUUUCGCUAACUCCUCCGAAGGCUUUCGUUCCACCGGCACCACAUUUGCUCAGGCCAAUCUACACCCCAUGGCCAUUAAAAGUUAUUCAAAUCAUGACGCUGCACCCCACGGUUUAGGUUCUAGGGGGAGCCAAAGAUAACCGUAAAAUCCACAUAUUUAAAAGUCUUAUAACUUUUUAUUUUUGUCCCCACUGGCCUCCAAGUUUUCUAGGAUGAUGCAAUGUCCAGCCAUCAACACAUUUGUGAAGGAAUUUUUACUCGCCAAAAGAGCGCCCCCCCAUGGCAGGAGAAAAAAGUCAAUUUUUUCUUGUCCACUAAGGUGAAAAUACACAUUGUUGAGUGCUACGCCUGUAUGUUUUGUCGUAUUGACACAAAAUUUUACAUACACGUGUAUUUACAUAAGAUCUUCGAAAAAGUCAAUGGCCACGUAUCUGUAAAAUGUACGGUUAAAGGGUUAUUUCGCAUUUUUUGCAGAUUCGCACACAUUGGAAUUUCGCUAAUUCCUCCGAAGGCUUUCGUUCCACCGGCACCACAUUUGCUCAGGCCAAUCUACACCCCAUGGCCAUUAAAAGUUAUUCAAAUCAUGACGCUGCACCCCACGGUUUAGGUUCUAGGGGGCGCCAAAUAUAACCCUAAAAUCCACAUAUUUAAAAGUCUUAUAACUUUUUAUUUUUGUCCUCACUGGCCUCCAUGUUUUCUAGGAUGAUGCAAUGUCCAGCCAUCAACACAUUUGUGAAGGAAUUUUUUCUCUUUAAAAGAGCGCCCCCCCAUGGCAGGAGAAUAAAGUCAAGUUUUUCCUGUUCAUCAUUCAAUGGCUCAAACGCACUGCUCUCUCGGCAAAAGCGAAAGGAGGAGCAACUUGCCAUUUGGAUAUAUCUUAGCUGUGUUUGUGCCCUCACUCAUGGUCCAGACUUUUUUCAAAUAGGACAUGGAGUUUUUCUGCAGCGAGCGUUUUGGUAGAAACUGCGCCUCCCGUUCAUUAUAAUGGUAAAUGACCACAAACAAGUGCGCACACCAUCUUUGGACCUUGAGUGUGACGCGAUCGGGUGGGGGAGGCGGUCGCGCUGGGGGCGGCGUGACACGGCUCGGGCCCGCCAGUGCCCCAACGGGGCCCUAGUUCUUUCUUUCUUCUUUUUCCUCCCCUUUGAACUGGAAAAUGGCCCACUUCCCACUGGCGAAAACUCAUGAAAUUUGGCAGGACGACCGGGCCUGGUGAAAAAUUCGAUAUUCUGAAGUCGCCCAAACAAUAAAAUGCAAAAUGGCUCCAUAGCGCCCCCUAAGGUGGAAAUUCACACUAUUGACUGUCACGCCUGUACGCUUUGUCAUAUUGACACAAAAAUUGACACACAUAUGUAUCUCAAUAAGAUGUACAAAAAAGUCAGUGCGGCCGUAUCUGUCAAAAUUACGGUUAAAGGGUUAUUACGCAUUUUUUGCCGAUCCGCACACAUUGGAAUUUCGCUAACUCCUCCGAAGGCUUUCGUUCCACCGGCACCACAUUUGCUCAGGCCAAUCUACACCCCGUGGCCAUUAAAAGUUAUCAAAAUCAUGACGCUGCACCCCAAGGUUUAGGUUCUAGGGGGCGCCAAAGAUAACACUAAAAUCCACAUAUUUAAAAGUCUUAUAACUUUUUAUUUUUGUCCUCACUGGCCUCCAAGUUUUCUAGGAUGAUGCAAUGUCCAGCCAGUAACACAUUUGUGAAGGAAUUUUUACUCCCCAAAAGAGCGCCCCCCCAUGGCAGGAGAAAAAAGUCCAUUUUUUCUUGUCCCCUAAGGUGAAAAUACACAUUGUUGAGUGUCACGCCUAUACGCUUUGUCAAAAUGACACAAAAAUUGACACACACAUGUAUCUCAAUAAGAUCUACGAAAAAGUCAAUGUGCGCGUAUCUGUCAAAUGUACGGUUAAAGGGUUAUUCCGCAUUUUUUGCCGAUCCGCACACAUUGGAAUUUCGCUAACUCCUCCGAAGGCUUUCUGUCCACCGGCACCACAUUUGCUCAGGCCAAUCUACACCCCAUGGCCAUUAAAAGUUAUUCAAAUCAUGACGCUGCACCCCACGGUUUAGGUUCUAGGGGGCGCCAAAGACAACCCUAAAAUCCACAUAUUUAAAAGUCUUAUAACUUUUUAUUUUUGUCCUCACUGGCCUCCAAGUUUUCUAGGAUGAUGCAAUGUCCAGC